rnacentral:rRNA from 1 species
AGUGAACGCUGGCGGUAGACCUAACACAUGCAAGUCGAACGGCAGCACAGUAAGAGCUUGCUCUUACGGGUGGCGAGUGGCAGACGGGUGAGGAAUACAUCGGAAUCUACUUUUUCGUGGGGGAUAACGUAGGGAAACUUACGCUAAUACCGCAUACGACCUACGGGUGAAAGCAGGGGAUCUUCGGACCUUGCGCGAUUGAAUGAGCCGAUGUCGGAUUAGCUAGUUGGCGGGGUAAAGGCCCACCAAGGCGACGAUCCGUAGCUGGUCUGAGAGGAUGAUCAGCCACACUGGAACUGAGACACGGUCCAGACUCCUACGGGAGGCAGCAGUGGGGAAUAUUGGACAAUGGGCGCAAGCCUGAUCCAGCCAUACCGCGUGGGUGAAGAAGGCCUUCGGGUUGUAAAGCCCUUUUGUUGGGAAAGAAAAGCAGCAGGUUAAUACCCCGCUGUUCUGACGGUACCCAAAGAAUAAGCACCGGCUAACUUCGUG